rnacentral:misc_RNA from 1 species
UCUCCGUAGGUGAACCUGCGGAGGGAUCAUUACUGAGUGAGGGUCUCCGGGCCCGACCUCCAACCCUUUGUGAACACAACUUGUUGCUUCGGGGGCGACCCUGCCGUUUCGACGGCGAGCGCCCCCGAAGGUCUCCCAACACUGCAUCUUUGCGUCGGAGUUUAAGUAAAUUUAAACAAAACUUUCAACAACGGAUCUCUUGGUUCUGGCAUCGAUGAAGAACGCAGC